GAAGGGUGCAAGCGUUACUCGGAAUUACUGGGCGUAAAGCGUGCGUAGGUGGUUCGUUAAGUCUGUCGUGAAAGCCCCGGGCUCAACCUGGGAAUGGCGAUGGAUACUGGCGGGCUAGAGUGCGGUAGAGGAGAGUGGAAUUCCCGGUGUAGCAGUGAAAUGCGUAGAGAUCGGGAGGAACAUCAGUUGCGAAGGCGGCUCUCUGGACCAGCACUGACACUGAGGCACGAAAGCGUGGGGAGCAAACAGGAUUAGAUACCCUGGUAGUCCACGCCCUAAACGAUGCGAACUGGACGUUGGGAGCAACUAGGCUCUCAGUGUSGAAGCUAACGCGUUAAGUUCGCCGCCUGGGGAGUACGGUCGCAAGACUG
rnacentral:rRNA from 1 species